GGAAAGAAAGAAAAGGAAAGGAAAGAAAAGAGAAAGAGAAGAAGAAGGAGAGGAACAGAACCUAGGUCUCUGCCUUCUGGAAGCUCUUCCAGUGUGGGAGAGAAGAUGGACAGACCCAGAGGUGGCCAAGAGUUGUGCUGAUGGUGAGGCCUGUGCAGGAGGUAAGUGCCAGAAGAGAGGGAUGGGAAGGCUGGCUGACAAGAGGGGAGGGAGCAUUCCAAGCCUGGAGGGGAUGUAGCAGCCUAUGGAGGGGGAAGGGGACCUGAGGAGAGAGGCCUAAAAUAAAGGACAAAGCAGUUGCUGGCCUCAGGCUCACACUUGCAGUUCACUAACCUGCCCUCAAGCCUUGAUCUGCGGGGGCACCUACAGCCCAGCAUUUGCCCACAUGGGCCCUUGUCACCAUGGUCCAGGGCCUGCCUGUCUUCCUUCCCCACCCCCUGAGAGGCGAGCCCACACAGACAAGUGUGUGUGCACACAUUGACACACACCUCUACUGUAUGAAACUUGCACACGCUUACUGUAAAUACAGCAACCCACACAAAAUCACAUGGUGUAUGCACCCGCUAGACACUCCAGGAUAUCGGCUCUGCCAAGCUCUUUCUAGACAUCCAUGUGGCCUGUGUACACGUGCGCUGUUCGGCUUCCACAAAUGUGGACGUGGAAUUUGCAUGCACAUGUGAUCUCCAUAUAUGCACACCCACUUUGUUCACAGCCUGUACACACACCAACCCACCACUGAUACAGAGACACCCCCCGUGUGAAUUACACUGAGGAUCAGACAAGGCCUAACCGCAGCUCUCACUUUGCGUCUUCUGAUGCAGCAAGUGGAUUUUUGACAGCGGCAGUGGAGGUUUCAUGGAGGAGGGGGAACUGGGAGGAGUGUGUGGGGUAACGGGGAGGUUCUGGCAGAAGAGGGGAACUAGGCCUUCCCUGAAGUCCAUGAGGAAGGCACCCAGACACAUGCCCUUCUCCCAGCAGCCCUACCUCUGGCCCCUCGCCUGCUGCCAGGCCAGAGAAAGGAGAAGCUAAAAGUGGCCAGUCUGAGUUGCUAAAUUGGACCUUGGCAGAGAAGGGGAAACGCGUCAGUUCCCUGGGGAAGUGGCUGAGCCCAGGGCGGCCACAGGCCCCUGAGCUUCUACUCCAAUGGAACAAAAGUUGCUCAAAUAGAUCUGACGCUUUGUUUUCGAACCCAAAAUACCCUGUGGUGGCCGCCGGAAGUGUGACCGCGGGAGGGAAGUGGGGCAAGAGGGGAAGAUUAGUUCGAGUUUCCAUUGCAGGCGACUUUAUAUUUCAUUCGGGGUCUAGAAGCAGCUUUCCUGCUACUUGGAGAGAGUGUUUGUGUGAAAGGGGAGUGCGGCUCUGAGAUUUGGGGUCUGGGCCACCUGAAGUGACAGCAGUCACCCUUCUUCUGCAGCCAUCUCUCCCCAGAGGUGGCCUCUGAAAAUAGCCCUGUCCUCACGCACUGUCAGAAUUUCAUCUCCGGCCACCUGGUGGCAGGGUGGGAAAGCCCACCCUGGAGAAGUGGGGAUGAUUAGACUGGGAAGGGGACAAGUGGCAGGUGACUUUGUCUUUAGAUACUAGACUUUCCCUUGUGAACGUUGAUUCUUUUUUUGUUUGUUUGUUUUAACAAAAAUUCUCUACACAGAAUUUUUCAAAGAGCACUCAGUAAAUGAGGCCGUAGCUGGACCAAAACACAGACCCAUGUAUUCAGACUCGGUCCUUUAAUGACUACCAGUGCGAGCUCCAAACUGCAAGGAUUCCCGAAGAAUUACAGGACCUCAGUGUGCACUCCCAUCACCUUCUGUACCCUUAUCCCUAUUUAUCUUCACACCACUGAUCAGCAUCUCAUAUGUGUGUAUUUGUCUGUUUCCACCCUGAAUACUCAUUAGACCUGAACUCUCCGCACUGGAAGGACUUGGACUUGGCUUUCAUCGGUGCCAUAUCCCCAGUGGCUGACCACACAGUAGGUGCACCAUAACCGAUGCUCAAAUGCUGGGAAAAAAUGGGAGGAAGAGAGGUCAUCAGACAGUCGUCUUGCCUCAUGGGAACUUGUAAAUUCAAAACUGUUUCGGUGGCUCUACCCCAGCCUCUGGUGCCAUAUCAGGGUGCAGUAGGGCUCCAGAGGGGAGAGUUGGGGGGAUACGAUGGGAAUACAAUACAAAAUGAGACGCUCUGGCCCUUGUGGAACAAACCUUUGUGGGAGGAGGGCGGAGCAGACAUUUGUCAAAGGAUACACAAAGGUCGAAAGGUAAGCAGGGAGGAUUUCGGUCAACCUAGGAGAGGUAUUUGGAGUGACACCUGGAAGAGGUACACCGGGAAGGCUUUUUAGAGCGUGCUUAGACUGACCGAUGGGGUUUGACUCUGUGAAGGUCCCAGCCCCUGCCUGACACCGCGCGGGGCUGAGUGCAGUGGCCGGGGUGCCUCCCUUUGGCACCCGGACACCAGGGAUUCGAACCAGUCGCCUGACAGGCCGAACGGCGCCGCCCAGGGCCAGCAGGGCGGGGUGAGGGGGGACUUGUGAACCCGGGCUGCAGUUCAGACGCGGCCGCGCGGCCUCGUCCCUGAGUGCUAUUUACCAGCUUUUAAUGAAGGCAAGGUAAUCACCCUAAUGAAAAACGCCCUCGAGGCUCAGGGCAGCCAGACUGCGAUGAGGAAACCGGGAGGCAUCUCAGAGCCGCCAGUGAGUCACAGUGAGUGUGCAGCGCGCCGGCUUGCGCUGGGCUAGAAGGAUGCCCGGGCGCCCUCCCUACCGCGCGCCACUCCUGCGCGGCGCCUGGAGCCCCGAGCGUGACAGCGUGCUCGCAGGGCCGUGGGGUCUACACUCCAGGCACUCCGACACCCCCUGGGAAACCACGCCCCAUCAGCCAAGCCUCCAGCAGACCCGAAUUCUCCACUGCAACGUUUGAUCAGGCCUGCAAGGGGCUCUUCCUCUUCCUCCCUACUCAGCGCUGGGCUUCCCAGGUGCCUGGAUUUUGGAGGGUCUACUCUCUGGUGGGUUCAAGGCACCCCUGAAGAUUCUGGGUUUCACGUCUCUCCUAAGGACAAUUUUUCUCCCAGUACCUCAGUUUCCCCAACUCAGUACCGGUAGCAUAAGAUUCUCCACACCAUCCUCCACACCCUGCCCCCGGGUGGCAAGAGUAUUAAUUACAGUUUGUUCCUGGCUUUGAAGAUGAAAAAUACCAAGGAUCAUUACCACUCAAUUAACGGGGCUGUUUACUCCUGGAGUUUAGAGCUGAUUAAUCUGCCCCCUGCCACUUGCCUUGGAUCCAUGUUGCCCCCUGAUGCCCCUUCCUUGGACUCUCACAAGCUCCUCCUUCCUCCUGGAUUCAUACGUGGAGUUAGUGCCUUUCCUGUACCUGCCAAUACUCUUGGGGCCUGCAAGAGCAUUUGGCACAUUCUGUCUUCAACAAGUAUUGUUGAGCUCCCGGCAAAGCCAGGGGCUAGAUGGUAGGGAAGCGAAGGUCACAGACCAAAGCCCUUGCCUUCCUGGAGCUUGCCUUCUGGUAAGUGCCCAAAUGUCUACGUGGGAUUGGGUGUAAGUCCAUGGCUUCCUCUUGCCUUCCCCCUCUCCCUCUAGGCUUCCUCAUUCAGACAACAAACCAUGGGCAGUCCUAGGCCAGGCACCCCAGUCCUGGGUGGGCAGUGCUAACAGGCUCUAGUUUCAGAGAUGAAAACAACAAAGUUAAAGAGGAGGGGAAAAGAUCACAGCGCCUUGUAUGGAACACCCCCCACCCUUCCCCUCCUCUCUUCUUCUCAGCCCUUUCUUGAGGUCUUGGUCAGGCGCCCCGUCUUCUAUAGGGCAUUCCCUGGCCCUGAACAUCUCUCUCCUCCAAGCCUGCAGUGGCCCUUACCAAUCGGAACUUCCUGCUUAUACCUCCUCUGGACAUGUAUCAUGUCUCAUACGUGAUAUUUCCACUGAGCCUCAUUCCACACUUCUCAUUAAACUGCUGCUCCCUGACAGCAGAAUCCAAGCCUCGAGUGGUUUUCUUCCACUAAGAAUGCAUGGGAGUUCUGUGUAGAUGUUGCCCUCACUGAAACGAGAGCGCUAAGGCCCAGUCCUGAAAACCCCACACCCACUCCAAAGUGGAAUUCUAGUGGUCAACAGGCCCCCCAUCCGGUGCUGUGAGGGUUAGGAGACUCAGGGGAUGUGGGGAGAGAAGCCAAAGGUGGGAAGGGCAACGUGGGUCAGACUCCUCCAAUCAACCAUGCUUCAGAAUCAUCAACUGGGAUAUUUGAAUUGGGUACACAAGCCCUUACUGAGUACCGAUUGGGGCCAGGCACAGUUCUAGGCACUGGGGAGACAAAGGUGGGUAAGACUCAGUCCCUGCCUUCAGGGAGCUUAGAUACCAUCACUUGUCUUCAGCAAAUUUCUGGUUGAUCCUAGGCCAAAUAAUUCUGAGCAACCCAAAUAAUUCUUAGCAUCACGCCCCUCUUCCUUCGCCUAUGCACCAUGAGCGCUGGCAGGGAAGCCCAUGCCAUCAGUCAGAGCUUCCUAGCCAAUGUGCAGCCCACCAGUGGGUUCUGGUUGGGCCAAUAUUGGUCUCAGCAUGAUGCGAUGGGGCCAGGGCAGCCUCGGUUCUUUACUGCAGUGGCUGUAAAGAGAGUUUCAUUUUCUAUGAGAAUUACAGCAUGACAAAGGUUGGGAAGCCCUGCCUAAGCCAUCUGGUGAAAGAGGGUGCAAAUGCCACCAAAGAGUUCCAAUUCUGGGUCCCAAAGAGUCAUUAACUGCUGCUCCCUGGAUUCCAGAGUUUUGACUACAUAGAACAGCAAAGAAGAAACCAAAAGUUGGCAUCCAUCCAAUUCCUCACCUGGAUGGAUGAGGCCAGCACCUGAUUGUUUUAGACUGAGGAGGCGUCUGAGGCUGAGAACUGUUAAGAGACAGGGGUCUAGGGUCUGCAACUCUCUCUGGUUUCCUGAAGCUUUUUCUUACAGGGCACAAAGAGAGGAAUCUGCCAGCCUUUGGUCUCAGCAUCUGUCCCAUGGGCAAAGCGUGUAUCCAGCAAGAAUCCCGCUGUGUGGCAAGCAAUGGAGGUGUUUAGAAAGGAAGUAUGUAACUGGCUUGAAGAAGACCCGGCAACCUCCGAGACAGCCUAGGAGGGAGCGGCACAGGUACGGAGUGGCACUGUGGCUGUUUCACCUUCCGAGAGACCCUGGCGAAAACAGUUCCUCCCUGAUUCGUGUGGGAAUGCCACAGUGGGGACAAAGGAUGGAGGUAAGAGCAUUUGUUUUGGAGUCACGUGGGAUGAAUUCCAAUGUCAGACCAGCCAGGUAUUCUCCAGUAAGCUACUCAAACUCUUAAGACUUGAAAGGGCAACACUAAAAGCUUCCUCUCACAGGAUUGUGAUAAAGAAUGAAGAAAAUUAUGGCCUGGAAUGGUGGCUCACACUUGUAAUCCCAGCACUUUGGGAG